UCAGCGAGGGGGAGAGGCAGCCAGGGAAAGGGAGCGGAGCGCAAAGGGAGGCAGAGUGGAAGGCAGAGGGGGGAUUUGGGGACUAUUGCAGGGAGGCAGCGAGAGGCACAGGCAAAUAAUGCCAGAGAAGGAGGGAACUGGGCAGGAGGGGGAGACCUGAACCCACCGCCGAGCCACGGAGGCACAUCAGCACUCCGUGGGAUGGACGCUCCUGGGAGCAAAAAAUUCUGAGAGGCAGAGGCAGGAGGAGAGCUCUGGCGUGGGCAGGGCAGAGUUAGUAGAGGAGCAGGUCGCAGCAGAGAAGUAGCUCUUCUAGGAGGGAAAAAAUAAACCUAAGCUGGAGGUGAGCGAGGGCUGCAGAGAGACUUCCCUGAUUCCUCCGGUCCGGCUGAGACAUUUCAUGGUGAGAUGGAGAAACCGUCCGCUUUCCCCUUCCUCUGAUGUUGGCUCGGCACGGCUGGAGCAGGCAGCAGCCCUCGGCAGGACCCGGUGCCUGGCACCCAGCCCUGCUGGCACGGAGGAGCGGGAGCUCGGCCACUGACUCUUGUGGCAGGACAGCCCCACGGCACUGAGCUGCCUUAUGAGCCCUGGCAUGAACCUUGGGAAUAUUUGUGAGGAAUAGGAGAAGAGAUGGAGUUACAAGGAUAAUGAAGAGGACAAACGGAAUGCUCUGGGUCUGCGAAGCUCUGCAAAAAGGCAAAGAGAUCCCCUCUCAGCUGCAAAUGUUUCCAUCCUGACCCCCCAAGAGGCAAGAGGCUCAUCUGCUGUGUUGUCACCGUGCCUGAGCUGGCAGGCUGAGUCUGUGGAUGCCGAUCUCAAAGCCAGCCAGAGAUACACAGCCUGUAAUGGGGAUAAAGGCACAAAGCGGAGCGCAACCAGCGGCUGCGGUAUUGACCACAGACAGGAGGGAAGCAUUUGCCAGACAACUCCAGAUAAAGAAAGCAAAGACUAAGAGUGUAAAAAUACCCUGGGAUUUUUCCAUCGUUGUCGUUCACAGUGUACGUCCCAGAGCACCAGAUAUGGUUGUUAUAAAAAGAGAAGUGGGGGAGUGCUUCAGCAUGGACUUUUCUGUUCUGUUUCAUGAGACUCUUCCACUGCAAAUUUAAGGAAGGAUUGACAGUAUAUGAUCCACUCUGGCAGGGGCUGAAGGAAGACUGGGAUGUGCGAGGCACUGCACUGUGUACUGGGAAUGGAGAAAUGGAGGCAUUGCGUCAGCACCAAGUGCCUUGACAUUAUUGGCACACGGAUCCCCUGGAAAAGGACAGCAACAACCCAUCCCCCUGUGCCUGCUCAGGGUCAGAGCAGAAGCGGGGUGGCAGUGUGGGCUGGUGUGAUGGUUUGUGCUGCUGGAGCACAGUGUCACACGGGAAGGUGGAGAUGACUGCAGCACCACGGUGGUGUCCCCAGCACUGCUCAAUCUAGGACACAGGAGGGGAAAAGUGGUUGGGAAGGAAGGCAGGGCAGCCCACACUGUGGGGCUGGAGGUGGAUGUUGGCCCCUGGAGCCCCACCUGGCUGACAGCUUCAAUGCCACAGGACAGUGGCUGUGAUGCCUGUGCUGCAGCAGCUUUCCACAGAAAUACCCAUAGAAUAUGUGGGUAUAGAAAUACAUGGGUAUUCCCACACACCAGGGACAGGGUAGCAGAGGGAUGGAGAGGCAUCUCUCUGGACUGCAGUAUCCUGCAUCUCCCAGGGUGCCUCAUGCUGCACCCACCAAUGUGGUUUCAUCCCUCUCCCCAGAAGUCACCACUGACCCCACAGCUUCCUCCUCCAUGUUGUGGGUCCCAGGCAGCAGAGCAAGCUCCAAGAAAGACCCUUGGACAUGCUCUAGGACUUCCAUCUCUGUCCUCAGCUAGGCUCUCCUCCCCCUUGUCCAUGUGACAGGCAGCACUUGUUCAGAAUGUGAAUGUCACCCCCUUUUUCUGGAGAUGUCUCUGAGCAUUCCCCUCUCAUCCAGUUUGUGUUUCAGAUUUUCAAGCUGCAAUGAAACCAUUUCACAGGCAUUUGAACUGUGUUUGCGUAGGUUUUGGGCUCCUGGUAGGGCCUCUGGCCUUGUUGAGCUGGCAGCAUCUAUUUUGCAGGCAGAGAUGUCAGUGGUGGCCCUGGGCCACCAGCUGCUGAGGAGGGACAGUGACAUCUCCAGGGGGCUAAUGCAAAUGUCAGCACCAGUGUGAUAGCAGUCCCCAGCCCAGGGCUUCUUGCCUGCCUGUCUGUCCUUCCCAUGGUGGCACCACGCACUGUGUGGGUGUGUUGAGGUGGGAGUGGGAAGUGUGUUUAUUUUCGUCUGUCUACUGGCUCGUGCCGCUCUGAGUUUGUGACACUCGAUAUUACUAACACUUCCCCGUGCCAGCUGGCAGCAGGAGAUGAAUCAGAUUGGCAGCACCACUAUGUGGACCCCUUAGUGUCCAUCCAGCUUGGAGUGAUGUCUCUGGCCAAAGAACUGGUGAUAUCUCUCGCCCCUGCCCAGGGUGAGCCCUGGCACCAAAAUGCCAGUGGCCUGAACUUGCUGCUGGUAAUCUCUCAGUACCCUGUAGACAGGGUUGUCCCCUCUGACCCAUGCUGCCUGCCAGGCCCUGUCCCUCCUUCAUGCUGGAGGUCUCAGGUGGCUUCGUGACGUGCUCUCUGCCCACUGGCGGCAUCCCCAAGUUGGGGUCGGCUCUGCAGCCAGCAGGAUAGUUCAUCCACCUGCUGCCAAAAAGAGGUGUGGCGGUUGUUGUGGUUUAAUCUCAGCUGGCAACUAAGUAUCACUCAGCUUCUGGCUCCCUCCCCCUGUCCUCAGCCCCUGCCAGGAGGACAAUCAGAAAGAGAAGGUAAACCUUGCAGGUUGAGAGAAGAACAAUUUAAUAAUUGGAACAAUAACAAACUAAUAAUAGGAAUUGUAAUAAUAACUAGUGGGAGAGAGACUAACAGGAUCUAAGAGAAAUUAGUGAUACACAACCCAGUUGCUCACCACCCACUGAUGGAUGCCCAGCCCAUCCCUGAGCAGUGAUUGGCCCCUUUAGAUAAAUCCCCCAGUUUAUCUACUGGGCAUGAUGCUCUCUGGCAUGGAAUAUCCCUUUGGCCAGUUUGGAUCAGCUGUCCUGGCCACGGUCCCUCCUGGAUUCUUGUGCAGCUCCUCACUGGCAGAACAUGGGAAAUUGAAAAAUCCUCGGCACUACUUAACAACUCUAACACCCAUGGGUUAUCAGCAUUAUUUCAUACUGAAUCCAACACACAGCACUGUAUUUGGCUACAAGGGGGAAAAUUAACUCAGUCCCAGGACAGCAGCUGAUUAUUUACCCCCCCCCCAACUCCUGACCACUCAGCACCCAUGGAACUCGAUGACAUCACAGACCUUGGAAUGUUGGUUGCUCCAGCUGUUGCCCAGAGCCAAGACGUAGAGGUGUCUGGUCCUCCACUCCCUCCUGAACACCCUGCUGUUACAGACGGAGGGAUUUUGGUGGCUGCCUCUUCCCCCACAAGCAUCAGUGAGGCUGCAGAAGCUGGCACACUGCUUGUCAGUGUCACCGGCCUGCGUGAUCUGGGCUCCAGGAGGAUAAUUUGGAUUCUCCCACUUGCUGCAGCCCAGAGCACCUUGAAAAAUGUCGUGGCCACUUGGCAUCUCUGGACCAAUGGUGAGCGUCUUACCAGAGUCUCAAGGCUUGGAAGAUGAUGAUGAUGAUGACAGGGACGAAUUCAGGUACUCCUGCCACUCUGCGCAUUCUUCACCCCCAAGCAAGAGCAAUGACAGCUUAUAUGACAGUCAGACAGAGGAUCUGGGAGAACCCAUCCCAUAUUUCCUAACUCCCAGCCACUCUAAGAUGGUGGAAGGUGAACAAGUGGAGCUUGAGGAGGAGGGUCAGAAGUUUCAGGAACCAUUUUACAAAGACCAUUUUAAAAAGUCUGACAACUUGUCUGGAGAUAAAGAGCCCAGCCAGACCCAAGAUUUUCCUGGGCAUCAGGGGUCGCCUGCUCUCCAAAGGUCCAGUAUGGCACCAUGUGUCUCCCAAGACUCUUUCCAGAGUAACACAGACCAGCAGUCGCAGACAGAGGCUGCUGCCCCACAGGCCCAUGCCAGUGACCCCUCUGUGGGGGCUCCACAGUGCACCACGGGAGCAGAGCCCCGCACACUGCACAAGGAGGCCAUCGGGGAGAGGGAUUUCCCAUCUCUGCAGCUGACCUACAGCAUCCUAAGGGAGGAGAACAGCGUGAUCAGGGAUGAAAAUGAGGCACUCAAGGAGAGGUAUCUCGCACUCCAGGAGGAGAACUGUGUGCUCACGGAGAUGUUCUAUGGGCUCAGGGAGGACAACGUUGUGCUCAAGGAGGAGAAUGUCUUGCUCAAUGGGGAAUACAGCAUGUUCAGGGAGCAGUACGACAGGCUCAAGGAUGAGAAUGACACACUCAGAGAGGACAAUGCCACUAUCAGGAGAAUGUUUAAGAACUUCCAGAACAGCUUGGAGACCCAGGCGUGCAUGGUGUCAAGCCUGCAGGAGCAGCUGAAAACCAACCUGGCCGAGCGGAAGAAGGAAGCCCGAGAGCUCCAGUCCUUAGUCCAGCAGACUAAGUGUCAUCUCCAGCUAAUGACCCAGCGGGCUCUGGAUGCAGAAGGAAACAUGGAGAGGCUGAAGCAGAAGAUCUUUAUUCUCCAAGGACAGCUGGAGAGAUAUAAGCUGGAGAACGAAAACCUGAGAGCAGACCUGCCUGGGAGCAGCGAAGCACGACUUGGAUUUCGUGUGGCAAAACCCCCACAAGCUCCUAACGGGCGCAAAUGGCUCCAUCAGGCAACUCCUACCUCAGGAAUGAAGGUUCUUCCUGUUAUUGCUGAGGUCCUUGAAUCUACCAGCAAAAUUCUCAAAUUGUAAGCAGAAAAAACCUGUGAGUGCAAUUCUGUGUGACUUCUGUGGAUGAGUGUACAGACUGAGACCAUGGGUCUUCCACUCACAGCUAUUUGCUGUAAAUAAAAGCAUUUGUUUUUCCAUUCUCAAAUGUGUGUGCUCAGACUGGUAGCCUUAAUCCUUUGUGGAAGUAAUUUCCUUGUGAUUAAGUAUCAGUUGCAGGUACUGGUGUGGCCUUAGCUGCUGAUAACUCUGUUCAGGCACGGUGGAACCAGCAGCAAACAUUGUCCAGGCUCUGAGCUGCACAGUCCAGCUGUGGUGGGCUCUGCGCAAGAGGCUGUGCCACAGUUGUGGCUGACACGAACCCCUGUGUGGGAGCCAGGAGGAAGCAUAACAGCACAGGAUGCAGUGCUCUUAAACAGUGUGCUCAUCCCUUCCCAUAGCUGUACCAGCCACAAUCAGAGAUGAGCAAAGCCCUUGUAUUUCAUCCUGCUUCCUUUGCCUCUUCUUGGAGAGGUGGGAAGGGUGAGGAGCAGAGAUCCAGAUACUGUUGCACAUGGUUUCAGUGAACAGAAGCUCCUUUCUUCCUCUUUCUUUGGAGCUGGCUGCUUCCCGGGCCACAAAUCCAGUCUCUAGAAAUUGUGCACCUGUUUCUGCAGCUGGGGAAAAAACCUCUGGGAAGCUGUGAAGUAUUCAUAUAUGCGAGCUGCGGGAGUGCCUUCUCUCCUGUACUGGUGUCAGUGCUGGAUAAGAAUGACCUUGGUGUAUGCAGGCUACCUAAGGGAGCUGCCAGUUGGAGAGGAUGCCCUUCCUCUCCUGGCUGGGCCUGGCAUAGAAAGGUGUACCUAAACUGCCUGCCUUUGUCACCUCCCAGAGUCACAUGGGAGCCUGUGGCUCAAACUCACCAUGUAAUCACUAGAGUUACAUUAUAGCUUUAUCCUAGCAGGACCAUCUGUGGGCAUGAGGUGACCUUUCUUAAUCACAUCAACAUUUCUGAUUAAUUCAGGUUACCGGCCCAGGUUCUGCCAUUGGUUUACCCAGCUACACAGCAAAAGUUCCUGUAUCCAGCCAAACUGACCCUUCUUAAAGACUUGGAUGCUGUAGGGUAGUGAGGGGGUGGGAGCUGGCAGAGUUCAGUGCCAAAGUGCUUUUUCCUGAUGGGAAUUUUUGGGCAACUGUUUAACCUCUGUGUGGUGAGUUGUGGAUUACAAGGUUGUUGUCUUCUCCUGGUCCCAUAAUACCCUUGAUCUGAACAACCAUGUUCAUGUUGCCACAGAGCUUAAACUGCCUCAGUAACCAGGAGGAGAAACUGCUGGUUAAACUUCAUCCCAUCAGAGGUGAUGUCUGAAGCUCCUUACUUGCUGCUUUCCAGUCUGUGCUCCUAACUGGGGAAAGCUGGUGGGCUUCCACAGACACAUGAAGCCCCAUUCUGCAGCACUGAUGACUGAGGCAAGGAUGGUUCUCACCAGCUUUUCCAUCCUAGACAUCACUUGCUGUUCCUCUCUCCUAUCCGUGCAUGACCACUUGCAAGCAGCCCUAAACCUUAGAUUUGACCCCCAAAUCCUUGUAUUUGUCACAUAUCUGGCAACCAGUGGUUGCUCACCAGUGAGGUUGGGAGUAAGCAAAUUAGCUGGCUCUGUCUGCAUCCCGCACUCUGCACUGGCUGCUGUAAUCCGAAGGCUACAGAGCAGGAUUAGCAUGGGUGUACAAAGCCCUUCCUAAUCUGUGAGUCAUUACCCCUUCACUGCAUUUCACUUCUCAGCGGCUCUGGGCAGACAGAUAGGUGAGCUCUUGAGUUUUUGGCUUCCUCGUUCUUCCUUUCCAGGAGGACUGGAUCGAGACAUAACAUCUGCUGCACCUCCUUCCAAGACUCUGCUGAGCUGCUCCUUGGACGCUGUACACAGGGCAUGUGCAAGGCACAUGCCCAGGAGCACUUGCAAUGGCAGUGCCAGUCCCAGCUCAUCAGAGGUGAAACCCGGAGCCACCCAGUCCCAUGUGAGUGCUGUUCCAUGAGUUCCCGUGCCAUUCCAGCUCCCGUGGCCCCCUGACAUCUGACGAUACAG